rnacentral:rRNA from 1 species
UACGUAGGGUGCAAGCGUUGUCCGGAAUUAUUGGGCGUAAAGAGCUCGUAGGCGGUUUGUCGCGUCUGCUGUGAAAAACUCGGGGCUUAACCCCGGGCCUGCAGUGGGUACGGGCAGACUAGAGUGCGGUAGGGGAGACUGGAAUUCCUGGUGUAGCGGUGAAAUGCGCAGAUAUCAGGAGGAACACCGGUGGCGAAGGCGGGUCUCUGGGCCGUAACUGACGCUGAGGAGCGAAAGCGUGGGGGAGCGAACAGG